AUACGUAGGGUGCGAGCGUUAAUCGGAAUUACUGGGCGUAAAGCGUGCGCAGGCGGCCUUGAAAGUCAGAUGUGAAAUCCCCGAGCUCAACUUGGGAACUGCGUUUGAAACUCCAAGGCUAGAAUAUGUCAGAGGGGGGUAGAAUUCCACGUGUAGCAGUGAAAUGCGUAGAGAUGUGGAGGAAUACCAAUGGCGAAGGCAGCCCCCUGGGAUAAUAUUGACGCUCAUGCACGAAAGCGUGGGGAGCAAACAGGAUUAGAUACCCUGGUAGUCCACGCCCUAAACGAUGUCUACUAGUCGUUGGUGGAGUAAAAUCCAUGAGUAACGCAGCUAACGCGUGAAGUAGACCGCCUGGGGAGUACGGUCGCAAGAUUAAAACUCAAAUGAAUUGACGGGG
rnacentral:rRNA from 1 species